AAUCCAAAGAAACCAAUGGGUUUAUCGAAAAAUAAACUCCUCAUAAAAAAAAUGGAGGGCCACGUUUCCAACAUGCAUCAACAUCUCUCUUAAUCUUAUAAAGACCUAACCCUUUUAAGCAUUAACAACUGUCUUUUAUGUAAUGGACCUCGCCCCUUCUAAGCAACAACACCUAUUGACCAUGAGUACCGUGGAACCAGAUGAAGAAGCCCAACAAGACCUAAGAAUUUACAAUUCAACAGGCACCACCUUCUCCAAGACUUGCUUCAACUUGCUCAAUUCUUUAUUCCGGUACUGACCUUUUCCUUCAUCACUUGUGCCGUGGCUUAUGCACUGAUGUCGAUACUUAGUUACCUAAUGUUUGGGGACCAAAUAAAAUCAUAAAUUACGCUAAAUCUCCCUGUUAUAAAUUUUAGCUCCAAGAUUGCAAUUUAUGUUGUUGUUAUACUUCCAUUAUCAAAAUAUGCACUAGUCAUGGCUCCUGUCGCAGCUGCUAUCGAAGAGAUAUUUCCUCUUUGCAAGAAGUGUGGGGUGAGUCUAUCAUUGACGAUGAUGAUGGUGGCUAUCAAAGUCAUAGUUGCUCUAAUAUUUCCAUUUUUUGGGUCCAUGAUGGCAUUUAUCGGAUCAUUUCUUGGUAGCACUACUACUCUAAUUCUACCAUGUAUUUGCUACCUGAAGAUCUUUGAGGGCAUAAAGAGUUGCAGAGUUGAGAUCGUUAUAGUGAUGGGGAUUUUGAUGAUAGGUUUUUGGAUUGCACGUCUUGAGAAUUAUUUCAAUGUCAAGCGCAUUGUGCAGCAAAUGUAAAUUCUUGAUGAGAUAAUUCAUGUGAUCUUGAUAAUUUCUAGAGUAAA